rnacentral:ncRNA from 2 species
CAUGUACUAAACGGGGGCCGGGCAAAUACGGCUGAGAUUGUAACAGAAUGCGUUACUGACCGUAGAACCUGAACUGGGUAAUGCCAGCGGAGGGAGAGGUAGCUGACUUCAA